GAUGAACGCUAGCGGCAGGCCUAAUACAUGCAAGUCGAACGGUAACAUUGGUGCUUGCACCAGAUGACGAGUGGCGCACGGGUGCGUAACGCGUAUGCAACCUACCUUUUACUAGAGUAUAGCCCAGAGAAAUUUGGAUUAAUCCUCUAUAAUAUCUUUUAAUUUCAUGAUUUUAAGAUUAAAGUUUUAACGGUAAAAGAUGGGCAUGCGUCCCAUUAGUUUGUAGGUGAGGUAACGGCUCACCUAGACUACGAUAGGUAGGGGCCCUGAGAGGGGGAUCCCCCACACUGGUACUGAGACACGGACCAGACUCCUACGGGAGGCAGCAGUAAGGAAUAUUGGACAAUGGA
rnacentral:rRNA from 1 species